rnacentral:rRNA from 1 species
UACAGAGGUGGCAAGCGUUGUUCGGAAUUACUGGGCGUAAAGGGCGCGUAGGCGGUUCGAUAAGUCCUGUGUGAAAUCCCUCGGCUCAACUGAGGAACUGCACGGGAGACUGUCGGGCUUGAGUUCGGGAGAGGGAAGCGGAAUUCCUGGUGUAGCGGUGAAAUGCGCAGAUAUCAGGAGGAACACCAAUGGCGAAGGCAGCACUCUGGGACGUGACUGACGCUGAGACGCGAAAGCGUGGGGAGCAAACAGG